rnacentral:rRNA from 1 species
CUACACGGGUAUCUAAUCCUGUUUGCUCCCCACGCUUUCGAGCCUCAGUGUCAGUAACAGACCAGAAUGUCGCCUUCGCCACUGGUGUUCUUCCAUAUAUCUACGCAUUCCACCGCUACACAUGGAGUUCCACAUUCCUCUUCUGUACUCAAGUUUCCCAGUUUCCAAUGACCCUCCACGGUUAAGCCGUGGGCUUUCACAUCAGACUUAAGAAACCACCUGCGCUCCCUUUACGCCCAAUAAAUCCGGACAACGCUUGCCACCUACGUAUUACCGCGGCUGCUGGCAC